rnacentral:rRNA from 1 species
UACGUAGGGUGCGAGCGUUGUCCGGAAUUAUUGGGCGUAAGGGCGCGUAGGCGGCCAUGCGUGUCUUCCGUGAAAUCCCUCGGCUUAACUGAGGACGUGCGGAAGAAACUGCAAGGCUCGAGUCCGGGAGAGGAGGGUGGAAUUCCCAGUGUAGCGGUGAAAUGCGUAGAUAUUGGGAGGGACACCGGUGGCGAAGGCGGCCCUCUGGACCGGUACUGACGCUGAUGCGCGAAAGCGUGGGUAGCAAACGGG